GACGAACGCUGGCGGCGUGCUUAACACAUGCAAGUCGAACGGAAAGGCCCUGCCUUUGUGGGGUGCUCGAGUGGCGAACGGGUGAGACACACGUAAGUAACCUGCCCUUGACUUUGGGAUAACUUCAGGAGACUGGGGUUACUACCGGAUAGGAGCUCCUGCUGCAUGGUGGGGGAUGGAAAGUUUGGGCGGUUUGGGAUGGACGGGCGGCUUAUCAGUUUGUUGGUGGGGUAGUGGCUUACCAAGGCUUUGGUGGGUAGCCGGCCUGGGAGGGUGACCGGCCACAUUGGGAUUGGGAUACGGCCCAGACCCCAACGGGAGGCAGCGGUGGGAAAUUUUGCACAAUGGGGGGAAGCCUGAUGCAGCAACCCCGCGUGCGGGAUGACGGCCUUCGGGUGGUAAACCGCUUUCGCCGGGGACGAAGCUGUAGUGACGGUAAUUGCUAAAGAAGCACCGGCUAACUACGUG
rnacentral:rRNA from 1 species